rnacentral:rRNA from 1 species
UACGUAGGGUGCGAGCGUUGUCCGGAAUUAUUGGGCGUAAAGAGCUUGUAGGCGGUUUGUCGCGUCUGCUGUGAAAAUCCGGGGCUCAACCCCGGACUUGCAGUGGGUACGGGCAGACUAGAGUGCGGUAGGGGAGAUUGGAAUUCCUGGUGUAGCGGUGGAAUGCGCAGAUAUCAGGAGGAACACCGAUGGCGAAGGCAGUUCUCUGGGCCGUAACUGACGCUGAGGAGCGAAAGCGUGGGGAGCGAACAGG